rnacentral:rRNA from 1 species
UGAGGAAUAUUGGGCAAUGCCCGCAAGGGUGACCCAGCAACGCCGCGUGGAGGAUGAAUGUCGUAAGAUUGUAAACUCCUGUUAGAGGGGAAGAAUAGUACCGGUUGGACCGGUAUAUGACUGUACCCUCAGAGAAAGCCCCGGCUAACUACGUGCCAGCAGCCGCGGUAAUACGUAGGGGGCAAGCGUUGUCCGGAUUUACUGGGGGUAAAGGGCGCGCAGGCGGGAUAAAAAGUCAGUGGUGAAAUCCUACAGCUUAACUGUAGAACUGCCGUUGAUACUGUUAGUCUUGAGUUCGGGAGAGAGAGACGGAAUUCCAGGUGUAGUGGUGAAAUACGUAGAUAUCUGGAAGAACACCAGUUGCGAAGGCGGUCUCUUGGUCCGACACUGACGCUGAGGCGCGAAAGCGUGGGGAGCAAACA